CAUUUUCGUGAGAAUGUGGGCCAGCUGAUCACCAUGAAGAAGCUGCUAGUUACUGAUACAAAUGCAUUCUAGAGAAUUUUAUUAGAGUAACAUGAAAAGAAAAGUUAGAAGCAUCACCAAACAGAUAACCAGGAAACACUUCAGAUACAUUUCAAAAUCAUGGCGGUGAAGAAAUAUGAAACACAGCACGAGUUCUCUCAGAAGAAACAGAUUAUGCCACACCAGAAAUAAAGUGUCUGACACCACACCAUUGUAGGACCAACAAAUAAAAUCUACAAGUUGUGGACAAUUAUGAGGAUAUAAAAGAUACUAAUAUAAUAAUAUAAUUGGCUCUCUUGUUGUAAAGUGAUGGUUGUAUGGGAAUUGUGUAAAUAAUUAAAUUUUGAAAUUCAGUUUUGUAAAAAAAUAAUUUUUAA